UCCCAGAAGGGUGAUGGUAUCAUGGC
rnacentral:piRNA from 1 species